rnacentral:rRNA from 1 species
UGGGGGAUAUUGCACAAUGGGCGAAAGCCUGAUGCAGCGACGCCGCGUGGGGGAUGAAGGCUUUCGUGUUGUAAACCUCUUUCGCUAUCGAACAAGGCCCGCUUAGGGUGGGUUGAGGGUAGGUGGAGAAGAAGCGCCGGCUAACUACGUGCCAGCAGCCGCGGUAAUACGUAGGGCGCGAGCGUUGUCCGGAAUUAUUGGGCGUAAAGGGCUUGUAGGCGGCUUGUUGCGCCUGCUGUGAAAACGCGGGGCUUAACUUCGCGCGUGCAGUGGGUACGGGCAGGCUUGAGUGGGGUAGGGGUGACUGGAAUUCCAGGUGUAGCGGUGGAAUGCGCAGAUAUCUGGAGGAACACCGAUGGCGAAGGCAGGUCACUGGGCCAUUACUGACGCUGAGGAGCGAAAGCAUGGGUAGCGAACAGG